rnacentral:rRNA from 1 species
AUGCUCACGCACGAGGAGUGGAUGGCCAGAGAAAAGCACGGCGGCGGCAGCGGAUCGUCAUCCAGUGCGGGCAGCGGCAAGAACAAGUCGCCCGCUAAACCGAAAGGCGCGGGCGGCGGCAAGCCUGCGUCAGGAUACCAGGGUGCAGGUGGAUCGGGAGGAUCAGGCGGCAGGAAGAAGAAAGGCAAAUGCCAUCACUGCGGCAUCCCGGGGCACUGGAAAAAGGAGUGCCGGACGUGGCUUCUUGAGCAGGAGCAGAAAGGCACCCAGGAGCAGGCUAAUCUGGUGCAAGGUGGCGCGGAGCACGACCCAGGUCUGUAUAUGGCUGUGGUCACCACCGUUUCCACGCCACAGAUCGCUGCGCCGCAGGAAGUCUUCCUCAACGAAGAGAAGGUCAUGCCAGUGCCCUCGCCGGACGAAGUGUGGUACUUCGACACCGGCGCCAGUAGCCACAUGACGGGCGACAGGGGAGUCUUUGCGUCACUUGAUGAAAUAGUGCACGGCACGGUGAAGUUCGGAGACGGCUCUAUAGUGGCCAUACAAGGGCGCGGCUCAGUGGUGUUCCGCUGCCAAGGCAGAGGGCAGCGCGUGCUCACGGGCGUCUUCUACAUCCCGAGCCUGCGCACGAAUAUUGUGUCAGUAGGACAGCUAGACGAAGCAGGCUGUGUCGUCAACAUACAAGAAGGCGUGAUGACCAUCCAGGAUCCAGGACGGCGCACACUGGCACACAUUCGUCGCUCUGGCAAUCGCCUGUACACUGGGGCGUUGGAGAUCGACAAGCCCAGGUGCUUGCUGGCACUGGGAGACGACGUGACCUGGCGUUGGCACGCACGCAUGGGGCAUUUGCAUUUCCGUGCUCUCCGUGCAAUGUCAUCGAAGCAGAUGGUGCGGGGCAUGCCAGUGAUUGACCGCGUCGAAGAAUACUGUGAUGGGUGCGCUCUCGGCAAGCAACAUCGCACGCCGUUCCCACAAGUCGUCGCAUACCGCGCAGAGCGCGGGCUGGAGCUCGUGCACACUGACCUUUGCGGGCCGAUCGAGCCGACCAUACCUGGAGGAAGCAAGUAUUUUCUGCUGAUUGUGGACGACCACAGUCAUUACAUGUGGUUGGAGCUGCUCAAAUCCAAGGACGAAGCCUUUGCACGGUUCAGAAAGGUGCAAACUCUCGCAGAGGCAGACGGGAGCUGCAAGUUGCGUGCAUUCAGAUCUGAUCGGGGGGGGGGGCGAUUUCAACUCCAAUGA